UCUCCGGAUACCAGCGGCCGAGGUGCGGGGCGGCGAGCUCUGGGACGCGCCCAACUUGGAAAGCGUCUCACUCUCCCAACGCGCGCUACUUCUCCAGCGGGCGCAGGGCUCAGGGGCACAUGCCGCCCCCGCCCUUGUGCGCUUGCGGCUCCCAGCUAGCAGUCCCCUGCACCGAGCUUUCGCCUGGCUUUCCGCGGGAGCCUUCCAGCGGAUUCUUGGCUGGCAAGGACGGGGGAGCGAGGGAGAGGGAAGUUAGGGCUGCCGAUUUCUCUCCCCACUCCAGCGGCGGCGGCGUUCAGUCCUCUGGGUGGGAUGUACUCCCAGCAGCUGCGGCAGCGGCAGCAGCGGAGGUGCCCGAGCCAUGCACCCCGUAGCCGGGGACAAGGGAAUGGCCAGGAAAAAAAGACCGGGGUGAACCAGCCGGGUGAAGUCCCAGGGCCGCAGAGCUGCACGGGGAAUCUGUCCUGGAGAAGCCUUCUCCGCCUGCCUGGACACUUUAAGCAGUGGUGGCGGCAAACAGCGUGAGAUUGCAAACCGGACAGCGAGCCUCCCUGGUUCCGACGUUGCACUGACCUCUGGAGAUGACAAGUGAGCAAGAAGUGUCCGGCCGGGCCAUCCCCCUCAGUGGCUUGAUGCAGGAUCUCAGUUACCAAAUAAGGGACUGAACUCGUGCCACAGCAGUAAGAGUGCCUGAUCCUAACCAUCAAACCACCGUGGAACUCCCUCAGAUUUUAACUUUUACUCUCGAAUGAGAAGUAUCCCAAAGUCUGGUUUCAAGACAGACCAAGAACCAGAUGUAUACAUUGGUGUGGAUAGGGAGAUCUCAAGAAGAAGCCCUCUAGUUCAAGCUGAAUGAGCAAGAAAGUCUACUGGCAGCAACAGUCAUGGCAGCCGGAAUCCACAAGCAUCUAAUGCACUAAGGAAGAGGAACUCUCUUCUCUGACCAGAGGAACUGUGGUCACAAGAAGGCGACAAGAACCCCUGUUGCUUUUUUUCCUCUGUGGCCCGUAGAUGAAAAUAGAUGGCCAUAGGGGGAAAUCUCUGAAAAGCUGGUACAAGUUUCGUUUUGGUCCUGAAGUUGGUUAUAGUUGCAGGAACUGUGUGACAGAGCAGGGUAAAUAAAAUCCCAGCUUUCCAGCACCAUGAAAGGGAGCCACAGGGAGCAGAUACUGAGAAAAGAGUGUAGAAGAGUGUAUAGAGGGAGGAGCUCGAGAAAGCAACAUCAUAAGCUUAUUUAUAAAUUCCUGGGCUCAUCCUGGAGUUGCACAUACAUGGAUCUGUUCCUUAAUAGCAAAUCAAAGACUUUGAUAACUGAACUGAGAGAUCCAGGUCCCAGACUGGCCAUUAGAUGUGGGACAAAUUUGCAUAGCUUGGCAAAUGUUUUGAAACAAGACUGCCACUGAAACCACAACUCAUAGAAAGCUGUCUGAAACUGAUGAAUCCAAUAAGUCACCUGGUUGCUAUACAAAAAUAUAGUGUCCAUAAGAUUUAAACAAGAAAUAUGUAUUUCUAUUUAAUAGCAAUAGCCAGUUAGAAUCAAAAUUUUUAAAGUAAUAUUUAUGAUAUCUCAAAAAGAAAUAUACAUUAAUUUAAUAAAACAGGUACUGGAUUUGUAUUCUGAAAACUAUAAAACACGAAUUAAAGAAAUCAAAGAAAACCUAAAUUAAUGGCAACAUGGCAACAUUCAAUGUUUUUUGGAUUGGAAGACACAAAAUAGUAAUGAUGUCAAUUUUCCUCAAAUCAAUCUACAGAUUCGAAGCAAGACUACAAUAAAAAAUCUCAGCAGAAUGUUUACUGGACAUGGACAAUCUAUAUUCUAAAAUUCAAUCAAGACUAUGAUAUUAAGCAAAAAAAAAAAAAGACAUAUAAGUCAGUGAAACGGAAUAGAGAGAACAGAAACAGAACUACACAAAUAAGGCCAACUGAUUUUUUAUAAAGAUGGAAAGCCAAUUCAAUAGAGAAAGAAUAGGCUUCAAAAAAAUGGAACAAUCAGAUAUCCAUUUAAAAAAGAACUUUGAUCUAAAUUUCACGCUUAUUACAAAAGUUAACAAAAUGGAUCAAAGAUGUAAAAAUAAAGUUCAGAACUAUAUAACUUUUAGAAGUAAACAUAAGAGAAAUUCUUCAUGACUUGAGAUUAGACAAGGAGGUCUUAGAUAUGACAUAUGAUUAUACAUCCACUAAAAAUGAUAAAUUGGACUUUAUGUUAAAUUUUAAUUGCUCUUCGAAAGACACCAUUACAAUAAUGAAAAGAUAAGCUAUACACUCAGAGAAAAUGUUUUUAAAUUUAUAUCUGAUAAAGGACUUAUGUCCAGAAUACAUAGAGAAUUGUCAGAAGUAAAACAACCCAGUUAAGAAAUGGGCAUUGGCACAUCGUUGUAAAUCAACCAUACUUUAAUUAAAAAGUAAUAAAUAUUUUUUUCAAAAAUAAAUGGGCAAAGGACUUGAACAGACACUUCACCAAAGAGGAUAUUUGUAACUAUAAGUAUACAAUAAAGGACAAAUUAAUGUAAGAGAGUAGCUUAGAUCUAUUAGAAAUUGUGGCAAUGGAUAAAUUCUAGACAGAAUUAAGAUACAUGAAAAAUAAUGCAAAAAUAAAUUUGAUUUUCUUAAUCAUUUGGAGCAAAAAAUAAAGAAGCAAUAAGCCCUCUGCUAAGGGCAGAUGGUGUAAGGUUAACAGAUUAUAGAACAUGGAACUAUUAUGCCUCCAUUUUAUCUUUUACUUUAUAUGAGUGAAAAUGGUGAGUUACAAAAACAGAAUGUACAUAUAAUUUAAUUUUAGAUGACAGAAACACAUAUGUAUGUGCAUAGAAAGAAUAUGAGAAGGACAACUAUAUCUGAUCACUUGUGAUGAAACAUGAUGGAGGAUAAUAUGAAAAAAAGAAUGCAUAUGGAUGUAUGGCUGGGUUAUUUUUCUGUGCAUCAGAAAUUGACGGAACAUUGUAAAUCAACUAUAAUAAAAAAUUUUUAAAAAAAGAAUAUGAGGAGUUCCUAUAAUGGCUCAGUGGAUGAAUCUGACUAGCAUCCAGGAAGAUGCCUUGCUCACUGAGUUAAGGCUCUGGCGUUGCCAUGAGCUGUGGUGUAGGUUACAGACUCGGCUCGGAUCUGACGUUGCCAUGAGCUGUGGUGUACGUUAAAGACUCAGCUCGGAUCUGACGUUGCUGUGGCUGUGGAAUAGGCUGGAAGCUGAAGACAUCUCUGAUUUGACCCUUGGCCUGGGAACUUCCAUAUGCCGUGGGUACAGCCCUAAAAAAAGACAAAAGAAAAAGAAUAUGAGAAGGACAUACACUGAAAUGUUAACAGUUGUUUCUAGGUGUAAGAUUUUCUUUUUUCUUUUUUCUGAAGUGCAUAUAUAUUUCAUGAAUAUUUCAUUACACACACUUCUUUUAAAAUAAAACAGAACAAAUAAGUGAUUUUAAAAUGGAAAAGAUAAAGUAAAAGGAACUUUAAGGAAGCAAAAGCUCCAGGUGAGGAGGUCCUAAAAGGACAUACCAAUUUCAUAAGAGUUACAAUUAAAUACAUCCCAGAGCACUGCAAGAACUUUUGGAGAAGACAACAUACGCAAAAGCAGUUCCAAUCUUCAAAAAAAAUGUCAGCUUCUGAAAACUACAGCAAGAUUCUACACCUAAUUACUAGAAGAACAGAUCUGGAGUAUUUAGAAAAGAAACACUCCUAAGAUCCCAGCUUAGGCUCACUAAAAAUAAAUCAUAACAAACAAACCUCUCUUCCUUCUCUAGACAGUUACUACUAGAAAUAAUGCCCUCAAACUUGACCUGUUCAACACUUUUUUCUCUCUUUCUGAUGUAUCUUGGUUUUAUUUGGGGAAACUAUUUUGGCUUCUUAAUAGACUUUUAAAAGUUGCCAUGUCUGAUGGUUAAUUCAUCUUCUCCCCUAAAACCUGGUCCUUCUACUGUCUUUCCCAUCUGAACUGCAACUUUCAGUUACUUAGGCCAACCAUCCUGGAGUCAUCUCCGAUUCCUCUCUCUUUCUCACACUCCAUCAGCAGAUGCUGUUGGUUUUACCUUUAAAAUACAGCUAAGAUCUGACGACUUUCUCAGAACUGUCGCUACUGACAUCCACACCCAGUCCCACUCACCUUCUUUCUUCACCUGGGUUUUUAUUUGUUUGUUUGUUUUGCUUUUUAGGGCUGCACCCACAGUAUAUGGAAAUUCCCAACCUAGGGGUCAAAUUGGAGGUACAGCUGCCGGCCUAUAGCACAGCCACAGCAAUGAAGGAUCUGAGCCAGGUCUGCGAGCUACACCACAGCUCAGGGCAAUUCCAGAUCCCUGACCCACUGAGCAAGGCCAGCGACCGAACCUGUAUCCUCAUGGAUACUAGUCGGAUUCAUUACCGCUGAGCCACAAUGGGAACUCCCAUCACCUGGAUUUUUACAACUGCUGAUAAGUGAAAUCCCUACUUCUAUUCUUAACAACAUACAUGCUACUAUAUUUUUAAAACACAAGUCAGGUCAUGGUCCUCCUAUGAGAAAACCCUCAGAUGAUUCUCCAUUUCCCUCAGAGCAAGUGCCAAGGUCCUUACGUGGCCCUCCGGCCCCUUCAUUUUCGUUUCCUCCUGCUCUCUCCCUUGCUCACCUGGCUCUCGCCACAGUGGCCCCCCUGCUAGAGCUUGAAUCAGCCAUGUGUUCUCUGGCCUCAGGGACUUUGUACUUGCUAUCUCCUCUAGCCGACACUCUCUGCUUCCAGACCCUUACAUAGUCAAGAUGGCCAUACAUCCUGGUUUGCCUAAGAGAGUCCCCAUUUGUGCCUGGUAUCCCAGCAUAAUGAGCACCAUCUUACAGUAUCCCCAUUUGAAUAAGUUAUAUGGUCACCCUACACAUGGCUCAGAGCCUCAUCUCUUUCAGGUCUGCUCAACCUCGGGCUCUCACUGAGAACGCUGACACCUGAUUUAAAAUUGUUUCCUUAUUUUGUGUUCCCCACUUAUGGCUAUUUUCAUCUUCUGAUAUACUAUAGUACCUUCUUAUCGAUCAUGUUUAUUGUUUGUAUUCUGCCAUUAUGUAUGUAAUCUCCAUGCAGGCAGAUGUCUUGCCUCUUGUAUUUUCUAUACUGUAUCCCCAGCACCUAGAACAGUACCUAGUACAAAGCAGUUCUCAAUAAAUGUUUAUUGAUAAAUGAAGGCAUAGAUGAGUGCCUAGAAACUUGCUUUUUCACUAGAUAUUAAAACAAAACAAAAUAAAAUAUAAGUUUAUAUUUAGGGACCUUGAGGAAAAAUACUCUAAAAAACAUUCCUUGACAUUAUAUAAUCCAACAUGCCUUAUUAUCUAGUUAAACAUUAUUAUCCUAGUCUUAAAAGAUGUUGGAGGAGUUUUUUUAAUUUUAUUGGAGUAUAGUUGACUUACAGUAUUGUAUUAGUUUCAGGUGUGCAGCAAAGUGAGUUAGUGAUUCAUAUACAUAUAUCUAUUCUUUUUUCCCAUAUAGGUUAUUACAGAACAUGGAAUAGAAAUCCCUGUGCCAUACAGUAGGUCCUUAUUAGUUAUCUAUUUUAGAUACAGUAGUGUGUAUAUGUCCAUUUCAUUCUUUUUUAAAUUAUUUUAUUAUAGUUGGUUUACAAUGUUGUGCCAAUUUCUGCUGUAUAAUAAAGUGACCCAGUCAUACAUAUGUAUACAUUCCCUUUCUUAUAUUAUCUUCCAUCAUAGUUUAUUCCAAGAGACUGGAUAUAGUUCCCUGUGCUAUACAGUAGGACCUCAUUACUUAUCCACUCUAAAUGUAAUAGUUUGCAUCUACUAAGCCCAACCUCUCAGUCCAUCCCACCCUCUCCCCCCUCCACAAGUCUGUUCUGUAUGUCUGUGAAUCUGUUUCUGUUUUGUAGAUAGGUUCACCUGUGCCAUAUUUUAGAUUCUGCAUAUAAGUGAUGUCAUAUGGUAUUUGUCUGACAUUUCACUUAGAAUGAUAAUUUCCAGUUUCAUCCAUCUUGCUGCAAAUGGCAUUAUUUCCUGUUUUUUAUGGUUGAGUAGUAUUCCAUUGUAUAUGUGUAGCACAAAAGAUGUUGGAGUUUUUAAGUUAAAAAUUUUCCUGAUUCAAAUAAACAUAUAUAAUUCUAUUGAGUGAAUGAAAAAAUAUAUAUAUAAUCAGGGUUUCUUUAUUUCUUUGGUUGAAAGUGACAGAAAUUUAACCUAGACUUCCAGAAAUUAAGGGGGAGAAAAGGAGAUACUAUUGAGUCUCACAGAAGUGAAAGACCAAACCUUAGCAUAGCAGCUUUUGGGAUUUUAGAGUAUGGAUACAAGAGAACAGAUACAAACAAGAUUCUUUCCCCUCUUUUCUCUGCUCUUCAUAUAUCUUGGCCUUAUUCUCUCCUUUCGUAAACGGACCAGAGAAGUACUUCUUCUCUCAGCUCCCAGCUGUAGUUUAAAAAAAAAAAAAAUUCCCAGAGACAGACUAAGUCCUAUUGGCCCCAGCAUGAAUCACAUCUGCCAUAGAAGGAGGAUGAAAUACCACGAUGGAUCCCUCUACCCCUAGAGCAGUCACUAUGGUCAGAAAUGUAAGUUCCUGUCCCAAAAUGACAACUCUCCCCAUAUGAAUGGGAGAAAUACUUCCUCAAAAGAAAUCAAGUCCUUUUUCCAAAGGAAAUGAGAGAUGCAGAAAACAAAAAAGGAAAAUCUAAUAUUU
rnacentral:lncRNA from 1 species